UCUUGGGUGGAUAAUACGGAUUACGUUGUUAUUGCUUAAGAAUACGCGUAGUCGAGGAGAGUACCAGCGGCAGGCGGGCAGCAGCCGCCCCUGCCAGCCCACCAGCUGGCCACUAAAAGCUCCCGGUUGCCAAGGUCAAAAAUAUAAAAGAACUUACCUGGAAUUGUGAAAGAAAUAAGUUGUUUUCUUUUCCAGCUCAAAAUUUCAGGUAAAAAUUGAUUUUCUCAUUACUUUUUACUGUGGAAUUUUUUAAAAAAUGCUCUCAGUUAUUGUUUCAAUACAUUAUUCUUGCAAUGAUGUUACAUUU
rnacentral:lncRNA from 1 species